rnacentral:pre_miRNA from 1 species
CUUCUACUCCCUCCGUCCGGAAAUACUUGUCAUCAAUAUGAAUAAAAGGGGAUGUAUCUAGAUGUAUUUUAGUUCUAGAUACACCUCUUUUUAUCCAUUUUGAUGACAAGUAUUUUUGGACGGAGGGAGUAUUUG